rnacentral:rRNA from 1 species
UACGGAGGGGGCUAGCGUUGUUCGGAAUUACUGGGCGUAAAGCGCACGUAGGCGGCUUUGUAAGUUAGAUGUGAAAGCCCGGGGCUCAACUCCGGAAUUGCCUUUAAGACUGCAUCGCUAGAAUUGUGGAGAGGUAAGUGGAAUUCCGAGUGUAGAGGUGAAAUUCGUAGAUAUUCGGAAGAACACCAGUGGCGAAGGCGACUUACUGGACACAUAUUGACGCUGAGGUGCGAAAGCGUGGGGAGCAAACAGG